rnacentral:rRNA from 1 species
GUUGUAUGGUUAAGUGACUAAGCGUACACGGUGGAUGCCUUGGCAGUCAGAGGCGAUGAAAGACGUAGUAACUUGCGAUAAGCCCAGAUUAGGUAGUAACAACCAUUUGAGUCUGGGAUUUCUGAAUGGGGAAACCCACUUACAUAAGUAAGUAUCCUUACCUGAAUACAUAGGGUAAGGAGGCGAACCGGGGGAACUGAAACAUCUAAGUACCCCGAGGAAAAGAAAUCAACCGAGAUUCCGAAAGUAGCGGCGAGCGAAAUUGGACUAGCCCUUAAGCUUUACACGCGUUAGACGAACGGUCUGGAAAGUCCGACGAUACAGGGUGAUAGUCCCGUAGUUGACGACGUGUGUUCAGUGAAAUCGAGUAGGGCGGGACACGUGAUAUCCUGUCUGAAUAUGGGGGGACCAUCCUCCAAGGCUAAAUACUACUGACUGACCGAUAGUGAACCAGUACCGUGAGGGAAAGGCGAAAAGAACCCCUGUGAGGGGAGUGAAAUAGAACCUGAAACCGUGUACGUACAAGCAGUAGGAGCAGGCUUUGUCCUGUGACUGCGUACCUUUUGUAUAAUGGGUCAGCGACUUAUAUUCAGUGGCAAGGUUAACCAUCUAGGGGAGCCGUAGGGAAACCGAGUCUUAACUGGGCGUU